rnacentral:rRNA from 1 species
AUGAUCUCAGCCUGGCCGCCGGUAGCCUCCCGGUGCGGCAGGCAAAGGGGGCACGACUCGGCUGGCAAUAGAGCAAGACGCGGACGACCGAGGCGGCGGGGCAUGGCCGGCAAGGCUGGGCGCGGACGACGGAGGCGACGGGGCAUGGCCGGCGAGGCUGGCGCGGUGAUGGGGUGCGGACGACAGGGGCGGGAAGCUGCUGACGGGCGACGGGGCACGGCCGACGAGCAACGCGGCAUGGCCUGGGGGCGAUGGGGCGCGACCAACAGGGUUGGACACAACCGGCGUGGCCGGCGCGGCCGGCUGGGGAAAGAGGCGGCAGCAGCCGGACUGGAGGAAGGAGCUCUUUAUUCCAGUUUUACAGUUUGUUUUCCAGUAUCUGUUCGGCCGCAGCUAAAAUGA